GACGAACGCUGGCGGCGUGCCUAAUACAUGCAAGUCGAGCGAGAAUCUGAUGACUGGAGAUUCGUCAAAAUGAUUCAGAGGAAAGCGGCGGACGGGUGAGUAACGCGUAGGCAACCUGCCCUUAGCAGAGGGAUAGCCAUUGGAAACGAUGAUUAAAACCUCAUAAAGCUGGAAAGUCGCAUGUCAUUUCAGCCAAAGAUUUAUCGGCUAAGGAUGGGCCUGCGUCUGAUUAACUAGUUGGUGAGGUAACGGCUCACCAAGGUGACGAUCAGUAGCCGACCUGAGAGAGUGAUCGGCCACAUUGGAACUGUGACACGGUCGAAACCUCUACGGAAGGCAGCAGUAAGGAAUCUUGCACAAUGGGGGAAACCCUGAUGGAGCAACGCCGCGUGAACGAUGAAGGCCUUCGGGUUGUAAAGUUCUGGUCUUAGGGAAGAAGAAGUGACGGUACCUAAGGAGAAAGCCCCGGCUAACUACGUGCCAGCAGCCGCAGUAAAAC
rnacentral:rRNA from 1 species